UACGUAGGGGGCAAGCGUUGUCCGGAAUUAUUGGGCGUAAAGAGCGUGUAGGCGGUCCGGUAAGUCCGCUGUGAAAGUCAAGGGCUCAACCCUUGAAAGCCGGUUGAUACUGUCGGGCUAGAGUCCGGAAGAGGAGAAUGGAAUUCCUGGUGUAGCGGUGAAAUGCGCAGAUAUCAGGAAGAACACCCGUGGCGAAGGCGGUUCUCUGGGACGGUACUGACGCUGAGACGCGAAAGCGUGGGGAGCGAACAGG
rnacentral:rRNA from 1 species